UAUACUGCUUUGAUCUAUAUAUCUUCUUCAAAUAACUCACUACAUUAUAUUAUUACAUAUUUCAUGCCUAGAUAUGUAAUCUAGAAACGCAUUCUCUUGUGAUUUGGAGUUCAAAGCCCUUUGAAGAUCCUUCAAACUGGGUUGUCAUGAGAUAUUAUAUUUUUAUGUCUAUUUGUUGAGCCAAAACUCCAAGGUAAUUCUGAUUCGAGGACGAAUCCUUUCAAAGGAGGAAGAAUGAUACAAUGUUGAACAACAAAGCAGAAAAUGAUCAGGCUAAACAAGGUCACACCAACUCAAAUGAAGAGGAAAAUGAAGCACAUGCUAGAAAUUCAUGCAAGAACUCUCCAAGUCAAACCAAUCAAGAGGCAAUCAUUAUGGCUCAAGGCUCAAUAACAAAAGCUAGAGCUAAAAGACUUCAAGGAAGACCUUCAGAGAGCAUGCUUACCUAAGGUCUUUGGUAAAUGUCGAUGGAACAAAAGCCUCCGAGGCAAUUUUUUUUGAUCAGUUGCGUUUGAUGACCAGUAUAUUUCUAACAUAUAUGGCUGGAGUAAUACCCAUACCAAAGUCUAAUCAACGUGGAAAUAUCAACUUCAAACCAAUUCAGUCUCAGAUAACGAAACAUUUUCUUGUAGUGGCAUGAAGACUGAUGGUCGAAUUAAUCCGAAGCAUGCAUUAGAAGUAGUUAAAGGAAAAAAUUUUGAUUUCCUAGAUGCUUUUGAACGUAGGAAAAGUAUGGAAACCGACGUAUUCGAAUUUAAAGAAUGUUAGGCCAAGCAAACCCUAUGCUUUAAUGCAUGCAAUUGGUGAUGGUCCGAGGUUAACAUUGCUUUGAGCUUCUUUUCAAGUAAUCGAGGAAGAGGCAUGCAUCUAACUGUACUGAGCCUCUUGUCACAUUAUAUUAUGCACAUUUGUAUUAAUGUUGGAGUGAUUUUUACAUCAUAAUAUAAAUUUGUAAUUAAUUUGUAUAUUGGUGUUGAGAGUACUUGUAUAUUGAUGAGAAGAGGAAUCUAUUUU